rnacentral:rRNA from 1 species
GAUGAACGCUGGCGGCGUGCUUAACACAUGCAAGUCGAACGAGAAGUGGAGACGGAAACCUUCGGGCGGAAGACUUUAUUUCGAUUGGCGGACGGGGGAGUAACGCGUGGGUAACCUGCCUCAUACAGGGGGAUAACAGUUGGAAACGACUGUUAAUACUGCAUAAGACCACAGCACCGCAUGGUGCGGGGGUAAAAACUCCGGUGGUAUGAGAUGGAUCCGCGUUCGAUUAGCCAGUUGGCGGGGUAACGGCCCACCAAAGCGACGAUCGAUAGCCGAUCUGAGAGGAUGGCCGGACACAUUGGGACUGGGACACGGCCCGAACUCCUACGGGAGGCAGCAGUGGGGAAUAUUGCACAAUGGGGGAAACCCUGAUGCAGCGACGCCGCGUGAGUGAAGAAGUAUUUCGGUAUGUAAAGCUCUAUCAGCAGGGAAGAAAAUGACGGUACCUGAGUAAGAAGCCCCGGCUAACUACGUG